CCAGCCGGGAGAGUGCGCGCGGGGCUAAAGCAGCCCCGCGACCCUCUCCCGGCUGGGGAGGUGACGUGCGGCUAUAGAGGCUCCUGCCAUAGCCGCGCGUCACGUCUCCAGCCGGGAGAGGGUCGCAGGGCUGUUGCUUCUUUAGCCCGCGCGCGCUCUCCCGGCUGGA
rnacentral:miRNA from 1 species